AUAUAUGUAUAUACUGGAUUCCCUGACGCUCCUAAUACUAACAGGGACCCAGACCUAGUAUGGAGCAUGUAAUGCCUGCAGUACACCGCAUGAAGUGAACCGAUGGUACAGAGGUUGUGAUUGUGGGACGUCUCAGUCUAGUUGUUUUGACGGAUGAUCUCUUAGGGUUGUAGUUUACUAUGGAAUUAGUGCCUUGUACUGAAGUCUAAUAAGUUUUAAAAGGUUAUACAUUUUACAAUACAUUUUUCAUGUUAUUUUAACCUACAUACCACAAAGAAAAUAUAUUUAAAUGAGCACAAACAAAAAUGAAAAACGAGCAAGAGAGCCGUUUGAGAGGGUAUAUUGGCUAAUACUAUUACUACGACCAUUACUGACGCAAUGCUGAAUUUGAAUGGCUAAGGGGAACGCAAUGGAUAACAAGAUUAAUAUGUAUCAACGAAAUACUUUCAAUAAGGAGAUGUAUCCAGAUUUAUUGAUAAAAAGAACUUGCAAGAACUGGAGAUCUUGGCUAACGUGUGUGCUGUUGUCACAUCUGUGUGAGAAUGGUGAAUGGAUAGUCCAUGGUAAAUUGUUGUGGGGCGAUAGAAGAGCCCUCCUACCAUGAAUCCUUUUAUACUUUAUAACUAUAUCAACUCAUGAGGCACUGUUCUGACCAAGAGCAACUAUGAGAGAAUUUUUGAAUAUUGGUUGGUCAGUCUUAUCAGGCCUAGUGGAGGGGGAGUGGAUUAUAAGAGUACGGUAACUCCCUUGAGGACUCCCAGCAGCUACCAAAAAAUAGGUUUCUAUAUCCAGUAGUCUAUGAAAGGAUUCUCUGCAAAAAGUUUGAUUAGAACUGUUCAAGAAUUUAUGGCAAUUAAUGCUGACACAAACACUGUAACUGAAGUUGGAAGGAUUGAGUCGGAUGUGAUGUGAUAUAGUAUAAUCCACAAGUCUACCAUAGUACUUCCCUUUGUUGAUGUACCCUGCAUAAGCAGCCAGACAGCUUAUUUCUUAAAAGAUAAAACAAGCGGAGAUAAAGUUGAAGAUAUUAGACAUCUAACAGUAAAAGAAAGAAAUUGGAUGGAAAGCAAAAAGCAAUGUCACUGGAGGCCUGGUGCAGCAACAUAACUUCCUUUUUUAUAAUGCUUGGCAAUCUGGCUGUAGAAGUAGUAGUGGGGUGGGUGUGGUUUCAUUUGUCAGGGCCAUUCUGAAAGUUUUCUUGGAAAUACAGUCAGUCACUAUCAUGCGUUGGAGUAGUGAGGAGCGUGUGUUUGCCGUCAAAGCCUACUUUUUGAAUCGACAGUCUGUGAUUGCAACCCAGCGCGCCUUUUGAAAUCGUUUCAAUGUAGCCCCGAGAGGCCCUGUUCCAGACCGGAAAUCAAUUGUUACAUGGGUCACUACAUUCAAGCAAACUGGGAGUACGACACGACGAAAAACUGGAGUACCUCGGCCCAUCAGAACACCUGAGAACAUUGAGGCAGUGAGAUCUUCAAUCUAGCAAUCCCCACGACAUUCUGCGCGCAAACAUGCCUCUGCCCUGGCACUUUCCGAUCGUUCAGUGAGGUGAAUGCUUCACUAUGACCUUCAUUACCAUCCUUACAAGAUGGCGAUUGUGCAGGAACUCUCCGUAUGUGAUUUCACUUCACGAAGGAACGCAUGUGAGGCACUUCUCGAAAACGUUUCUGAAGACGCUAUUGUUUACUUUAGUGAUGAAGCACAUUUUCAUUUGACUGGAUGCGUCAACAAACAAAACAUGCGCUACUGGCCUGACACCAAUCCCCGUGAAUUGCAUGAAAGGCCUUUGCAUUCACCUAAAGUCACGGUGUGGGGUGCAGUUUCCUCCACUGGAAUUGUUGGUCCUUGGUUUUUGGAAGAAAAUGAGGUCACAGGGACAGUGAAUUCAGACCGGUAUGUAAACAUGUUGGAGGAAUUUUUUUUUCCGCGAAUUGAAGAAUUGGACCUAGGGGAUAUUUGGUUUCAACAGGACGGAGCAACGGCUCACACUUCAAGGGCAUCGAUGGCUGUUUUGAGGGAACACUUUCCGGACCGCCUCGUUUCAAUAAGGGGCGAUUUGGAGUGGCCAGCCCGUUCCCCCGAUUUGUCCCCUUGUGAUUUUUAUUUGUGGGGAUAUUUGAAAUCCCGUGUUUAUGUCAACCGCCCGAGAAGCCUACCAGCCUUGAAGGUCAACAUCCGAGAAGAAAUUGCUAAUAUACCCGCUGAUAUGCUGGUGAGGGUCAUGGCAAACACCAGAAAUUGGUUUAUGCAGUGUAUGGACAAUGGGGGACGUCACUUACCUGAUAUGAUUUUCAAAACUGUGUGAAACAAAACUUUAAAUAUGUACUAUCAUUA